rnacentral:rRNA from 1 species
UACAGAGGUCUCAAGCGUUGUUCGGAUUCAUUGGGCGUAAAGGGCGCGUAGGCGGCGGGGUAAGUCGGGUGUGAAAUCUCAGAGCUCAACUCUGAAACUGCACUCGAUACUGCUCUGCUUGAGGACUGGAAAGGAGACUGGAAUUCACGGUGUAGCAGUGAAAUGCGUAGAUAUCGUGAGGAAGACCAGUGGCGAAGGCGGGUCUCUGGACAGUUCCUGACGCUGAGGCGCGAAGGCCAGGGGAGCAAACGGG